GAGAUGGGAUUCUUCAGUUCGGCUGGCUAGAACACAGGUGCUGCAUGGCUGUCGUCAGCUCGUGUCGUGAGAUGUUGGGUUAAGUCCCGCAACGAGCGCAACCCUCGCCUUUAGUUGCCAUCAUUUAGUUGGGCACUCUAGAGGGACUGCCGGUGAUAAGCCGGAGGAAGGUGGGGAUGACGUCAAGUCCUCAUGGCCCUUACGGGUAGGGCUACACACGUGCUACAAUGGUGGUGACAGUGGGCAGCGACACAGUGAUGUGAUGCUAAUCUCAAAAAGCC
rnacentral:rRNA from 1 species